GUACCACUAGACAGUGGCUCACUGCACCUCAGGAACAGCUGCUAAUGGCAAAAGGUUGGAAAAAGACAUACCUAUAUAUAGUAAAUUGGUAACCCACAGUUGGCUUGUGCCAUAACAGCACAGUCACUCAUUCCAGAUGUUUCACACAAUCCACUGAAAUCACCAACUAGAAUAUUUGCUGGAUUUAACAGACUCAUGGCCAGCUCUCAAAGCCCUGUUUUAGGAGCUGCCAAUUCCCCCAACAGAUCUGAACUGUUGAAGAUGAUACUCUUCUUUCAAUGAAGAAACUGCAAAGCUAUGACCAGACCUGCUUUGAGAAGGAAAGAGAAGUUCCAGACAUUACUAUCCCGAAGAACUGCAGAGAAUUUACUAUCUUCCUGUAUAUACAUCAAAUGAAGUCAAGCUACAUGAACUGUUUUUAUUACAAAUGACAGUAUCAAUUUAAAUUUUCCAGUAAGAAAGCUGUAUAUCUCAUGAGAGACAUAAAGAAUAAACAUGUGUUUCUGCCA